rnacentral:rRNA from 1 species
ACGCUCGACACCUACGGGGGGCAGCAGUGGGGAAUAUUGCACAAUGGGGGAAACCCUGAUGCAGCGACGCCGCGUGGAGGAAGAAGGUCUUCGGAUUGUAAACUCCUGUUGUUGGGGAAGAUAAUGAUGGUACCCAACAAGGAAGUGACGGCUAACUACGUGCAGCAGCCGUCGGUAAUCUGAGCGGGCUGGCAAGGC